rnacentral:misc_RNA from 1 species
AACCCAAUAAUCUUAUCAAGAAAAUAUCAAUCACAUGCGGCCCCUGUUAUCCCCAGUCGGCACCUAUCCAUGUUCACACGUAUAAAAAAAGUCCAAACUUCACACCCGGUGACUUGCCAACCCACGACCUUUCUUCCAAACCAGAGCCGGAGAAAGAGGCCAAAAAAAGGACAUGGGUAUAGUAGAAGAAGCUCAUAAUGUGAAGGUCCUGGGCACAGGAGAGCAGGUGCUAGUUCUGGCUCAUGGAUUUGGCACCGAUCAAUCUGUUUGGAAGCACCUUGUCCCUCAUCUUCUUGACGAUUUCAAAGUCAUUUUGUAUGAUAAUAUGGGUGCUGGUACUACAAAUCCUGAUUACUUCGAUUUUGAUAGAUAUUCCAGUCUCGAAGGCUAUGCUUAUGAUUUGCUUGCCAUUUUGGAGGAAUUUCAAGUCGAAUCUUGUAUUUUAGUUGGUCACUCUGUUUCUGGUAUGAUUGGCGCUAUUGCCUCCCUUAGCCGCCCAGAUCUCUUCUCCAAAAUCGUUAUGAUCUCUGCUUCUCCAAGGUAAAUUCUUCAUUUUUAGCCCAAUGAUUUGUUUCUACACAAAAUCAUGGUUGAGUUUUACCACCCAAUUGUGUUGCUGCAAUGUGCAUAGAGUAGGACAAGCAUAAAAGUUUGUGAAAAAAAAAAAAAUCAUGGUGAACUUUUCGAAGUGGCUAAAAUAGAAGUUGAUUAUUGACUUUUAUAUAUAAAUUGAUACAUCAUGGCGAAGUUUGUGGUGGGUACUUAGAAUUAUAUUAUUUUUUAAUUAGAGAUUAAUUAAUUUUAUGCUUAAAGAUGCCUGUUGAAACUUGCUAUUCAUUGUUUAAUAUGAUUUUGUUAUAGUAUUACUUGGAUCUUUGCUUAUUUGGAUCUUUGCAUUUGUGGAUUAUCAGCCAGCCACCCUCCACUCGGUAUCUUUGCAUUUGUUUCUUUCGUAAUUGGCUUGUUUCACGUGGAUUCAUUAGAAUAAUGACAUUAUAACUUAAAUAAAACUUAAGUAAAGUCUUUUGGUGAUUGUGUUAAACUUAAAACCUACCCUGUUCUAUCAAUUGCAUAGGUAUUUGAAUGAUGUGGACUAUUAUGGAGGAUUUGAGCAAGACGAUCUAAACCAACUAUUUGAAGCAAUGCAAUCCAAUUACAAGGCAUGGUGCUCAGGGUUCGCACCCCUAGCCGUGGGUGGAGACAUGGACUCGGUGGCAGUUCAAGAAUUUAGCCGCACCCUCUUCAACAUGAGGCCAGACAUAGCCCUAAGUGUAGCACAAAACAUAUUCCAAAGUGACAUGAGACAAAUUUUACAUUUGGUCACUGUGCCUUGUCGCAUCUUGCAAAGCAUGAAGGACUUGGCUGUACCAGUGGUUGUGUCUGAAUACUUGCAUCAACACAUCAGCGGUGAGUCGAUCGUUGAAGUCAUGCCAUCAGAUGGUCAUUUGCCUCAACUGAGCUCGCCGGACGUUGUGAUUCCAGUGCUUCUUAGGCAUAUUCGUUCUGAUAUUGCUGCCUAAUUAAAAUCUUUUAUAUAUAUGUACUCUUCAUGUCUUUGUUAUAAUGGAUUUUUGUGUUUGCUUCGGUUUUUAAUUUCCUGUUGAUGGAACUACUUUGAUCGUUAAUUAGUUUCCUGGAAAGGAAGUUGGCAAAUGGAUAUGCCUUGAUCGUAAGGUCCCCUGUAUUUGUCUUGAAAAAUUGUCAUGGCUUGAUGGUAAGGUGGCCUGUGUUUGUCUUUUUAAAGACUUUAUAAUAAAAUGUGAUAUGUAAGGUGGUGUA